rfam:Strongylocentrotus purpuratus Contig33877_fixed, whole genome shotgun sequence.
GGUCCGUUAGCUCAACAGGCAGAGCGUCGUGCUAAUAACGCGAAGGUCGUGGGUUCGAUCCCCACAUGGACCA